AUCAGCACAAUGCCCAGUAGAGCCAUGUUCUCAAAACAGCCUGGUCACUGAGAGAGAGGGUCAGAUCCCUGACGAUCUCAGACUCCCCGUGUAACUGGCCUCCCUUUACCCCAGGAAGCGGACCAAUCCAGUUGUGGCAGUUUCUUCUGGAGCUACUCUCUGACAAGUCCUGUCAAUCUUUCAUCAGCUGGACGGGGGAUGGAUGGGAGUUCAAGCUUGCUGACCCCGAUGAGGUAUGGCCACUGGCGCUGUCAGUCUCAGUCUGUCAUGUUGGAUCUUAAAGCCAAUCCUUGGCACAAGGAAAGCCAACAGAGCCAACAAAAGCCCUCCUCUACCAGGAAUCCCUGGCUCUUAGGCUGAACUAUAGCCACUGCCUCAUGGAUAGAUGGGCCUGGUGUUCAUUGGCCAGUGCCUUCCUCUGUGGACCUUGUCUGUCAGAGGUCUCUGGUGACCCUCAGCAAGCUCUAGAGGGAGCUUGCCUUUGUUCCUAGUUAGACAAAGCACAUAGCUGCCCAGCAGCCUUCAGGGCUGGCAUUGAGGCUCCCUGCUGGAGAAGGCUUUGGUAGAUAGGCAUGAUGCCAGUGAUCUGAGUAAUCGCUCACCCUCUCUGCAUCUGGAGGAAUGAGUGUGGCUCAUGGGCCAGAAUAGUCUCUUCAGCUAUCACAUGGCUUGAAAUGUGUCUCAGCUGGCAGAGUGGCUGCCUAGCUUGCCCGCAGCCUUGGGUUCAUCUCCAGCACCACGUCGUAAAUCUGGUGUGAUGGCACAUGCCUACCUGUAAUCACAGCACCUUGGGUUAGGGCAGGGGGUGGGGUGGGGAGGCAGAAACUGAAGGAUGAGAGCUUCAAGGUCAUCCUUGUCCACACAGUGAGUUUCUGGCCAGCUUGGGAUACAGAAGACUCUGGCUCUUUAAAAGAGAGAAAGGAUUAAAAACUUGAAAGAACCAUGAGGGCACGCCUGGUUCCAAAUGGCUGGUCCAGGAGACUGUGCUGAGAUGGCGCUGGGGACAGAGACAGGGACAUCACUGGCCCUUGUACAGGGAAACAUCUGCAUGUAUUUAUAAAGGCCCAGACUGAACAUCUGUCGGUCCCAGUGACAGUCAGGUUUUUCAGGGUGAGCACCCAGGGUCUGGAGCCAGUCAUGACCCAAGAGAGGACAUAGGUGACCCUGACCUUUCUGUGUCUUCUCAAAGGUUGCCCGCCGGUGGGGGAAGAGGAAAAAUAAACCAAAGAUGAACUACGAGAAGCUGAGCCGGGGCUUACGUUACUACUACGACAAGAACAUCAUCCACAAGACUUCGGGCAAGCGCUACGUGUACCGUUUCGUAUGUGACCUGCAGAACUUGCUGGGCUUCACUCCGGAGGAACUGCAUGCCAUCCUGGGCGUCCAGCCUGAUACAGAAGACUGAGGGCCUCAGGACCACCCUGAGCCAGCCCCGGGCCCAGGGACUGAGUGGGAAGCCCGUCCUGACCCACUUGCUCCAAAGACCCAUGGGAGGGCAGGAUGGUACCCCUCGGGAGAGAGCCACCAAGCAGCAGUGGCCUUUCAUCCACGCCUCUUCCACAAGCCAAUGCCCCAUGGUGGAAACCGGCAUAGCCUCUCUGUCCUGUAUGAGACCCCCCUGAAGGGAAGAGUCUCUGGGAAGCCACCGUGGCACCGAGCAGGCCCUGUGCAUUGUGGCUAUUUGAGAUGCUCCAGGGAGCCAGCAUGUGGUGGAUACACAGACACUGAGAAACAUUGUUUUUCCUUUGGCCUUUUGCCUCCAGGAGUAGCAAAUGCAAAAAGCCACCUCUGCUUGAGAGGGCCCGGCAGGUGGAGAGUGUGAUUGUCCAUUUCAGAAGUCAGUUUGUUUGUACAUACUAUUGUAUCUUAUAAUUGUCCUAAUCCUCCAACAGUUCUAUUUAACAGAAAUUGUAUAUUGUAUUUAAAGUAAUUAUAACUUGUCUGAAUCAAGAAUGCAGAUACCUAAUAGGUUAUCCUUUUAUUUUUUUCACUCCUACAUAGGAACGUCAUUUUACACCGAUUUAAUCUCUUAGAAUCCAACUGAGAGAAACCGUGAUAUUCUGUUUUUGUUUUAUUUACCAGCAGGAAUGGGCUCUGAAGGGUGACCUGGUUUUUUCUUUUGUUUUGCUCUCUUGUUAUUGUUGCUCAUUAUCUGACCAGGACUUUGUAUAUUGGUUUUUUUUUAUAAGAAACUUAAUGUUAUUAUUUGAGGGUCCAUAUGGCCUCUCCACUCUCCUGGACUGUAAAAGCUGUAAAGCGGUAUUUUUCUUGACACAUGGCACAUGUUUUCCACUUCCCUGCAUGCCUUAAGCCAAUUUAUACACAAAUGUAUUUUAUUUUUUGGCGUAACUGGGUUUUCCAGGCAACUCCCCUCCCCCAGCCAGUCCUUCCCUUCCUUCGCCCCAAGAUAUUCUGUGUGACUACAACAAGAAGACUAUUUUUGGAAAUAUAUGGGAUUUAUGUAGCAGCUAUUUUUACUGCAAAAGUAACUCACUGGAAAAAAAUAUUGUAAUUUGUACGAAAGCUUUAUUUUUAUCUUAGUCACGUAAAGGGAGAUGUGUCGGGUGGGCAGGGCUCAGGGCAAUCAGGAGGGAUCUUCCAUCAGCCUUGACCUUAAACGAAGUGUGGUGCUUCCUGUCUUGCUGACCUGCUAUGUCUCUUAACCAUCUGGGCUGCAUGCUCCUCUUUCUGCUCCGUGUGCUCAGAGAUUUGCUCCUCUUAUUUUUUUGGCCAUGGAUACCCAGAAGCACAGACAGAGCAAGCAUGCUGGGAAAUGGUGUCUUGGACCAGUUCUGUACGAGGAGGUUCUCAUCUAGUGAAGAGCUAACUCCACCAUGAGACCCCCACGCUUUCAUCUAGUUGUGAACUGGCUUCGCCGUUUACCAGCAUGGUGACCUCAGAUCAGCAAGUGACAUUGAUAAAGAGCCGUUAUACCAUGAGACCACACGGGACGUAGGACCAGCUGGGACCUGCUGUGCCAGUCCUGGGAGGUCUUGGCCUGCAUGCCCCAAGAGAAAUGCUUUGUGGUUAAGCACAGGGACCUGUUUGUCGCUGGGACAUCUGUGUGUAAUAUAAACAGACAUGGGACUUGGAGCAUCCUCCUGUCAGAGGCCUAAUCCUCAGUCAGUUUAUGUACAGUGGAGCCACAUGACAUUGCCAAGUUUAACCUGAGUCUUGUCAGCCAACAUGACGGUUUUACCUGGUUGAAUCUAACAGUCAUGGAAGUCCUCAGAAGUCUUUGGCUGGGUCUUAAGUAUGAAGGUUUUGUAAUUUGGCCUCCUCUUUCUCAAAUAAUAAAGUAUUUGGUUUAUG
rnacentral:lncRNA from 1 species